GGUUGAUUUCAGCUGUUUUGUCUCCACAAACUCUAUCUGGAGAUGCGAAAAAGUGGCCAAAAACAUCUCAAGGAAUACACUGGAAGGGUAUGCAUCACAUGCAGUGCAUCAUAUAUAGAAAUUACACAAGACCAUGGACCUUUGGUGGGC